rnacentral:rRNA from 1 species
UUGCCCCUCAAGAGGGUUCCUAAUAUCUUCGAGGUAGAGUAAGUCGUAA